rnacentral:rRNA from 1 species
AUCUGCCGGUGAUAAGCCGCGAGGAAGGUGGGGAUGACGUCAAGUUCCUCAUGGCCCUUACGGGGCUGGGCUACACACGUGCUACAAUGGCGGUGACAGUGGGAUGCGAGCCUGCGAAGGUGAGCAAAUCUCCCAAAAGCCGUCUCAGUUCGGAUUGCACUCUGCAACUCGAGUGCAUGAAGUUGGAAUCGCUAGUAAUCGUGGAUCAGCAUGCCACGGUGAAUACGUUCCCGGGCCUUGUACACACCGCCCGUCACACCAUGGGAGUUGGCUUUACCCGAAGGCGCUGCGCUAACCCGCAAGGGAGGCAGGCGACCACGGUAGGGUCAGCGACUGGGGUGAAGUCGUAACAAGGUAGCCGA